rnacentral:rRNA from 1 species
CCUACGGGGGGCAGCAGUGAGGAAUAUUGGUCAAUGGGCGCGAGCCUGAACCAGCCAAGUCGCGUGAGGGAAGACGGCCCUAUGGGUUGUAAACCUCUUUUGCCGGGGAGCAACGGGCGCCACGUGUGGCGCCACUGAGAGUACCCGGAGAAAAAGCAUCGGCCAACUCAGUGCCAGCAGCCGCGGUAAUACGGAGGAUGCGAGCGUGAUCAGGAUUGAUUGGGUUUAAAGGGUGCGUAGGCGGAGCGUUAAGUCAGUGGUCAAAUUGAGGGGCUCAACCCCUUCCCGCCAUUGAAACUGGCGCUCUUGAGUGGACGAGAAGUAUGCGGAAUGCGUGUUGUAGCGGUGAAAUGCAUAGCUAUCACGCAGAACCCCGAUUGCGAAGGCAGCAUGCCGGCUUCCGACUGACGCUGAAGCACGAACGCGUGGGGAUCGAACAGGAUUAGAUACCCUAGUAGUC